rnacentral:rRNA from 1 species
AACGCUAGCUACAGGCUUAACACAUGCAAGUCGAGGGGAAACGACAUCGAAAGCUUGCUUUUGAUGGGUGUCGACCGGCGCACGGGUGAGUAACGCGUAUCCAACCCGCCCACCACUUGGGGAUAACCUUGCGAAAGUAAGACUAAUACCCAAUGACGUCUCUCGAAGACAUCUGAAAGAGAUUAAAGAUUUAUCGGUGAUGGAUGGGGAUGCGUCUGAUUAGCUUGUUGGCGGGGUAACGGCCCACCAAGGCGACGAUCAGUAGGGGUUCUGAGAGGAAGGUCCCCCACAUUGGAACUGAGACACGGUCCAAACUCCUACGGGAGGCAGCAGUGAGGAAUAUUGGUCAAUGGGCGCAAGCCUGAACCAGCCAAGUAGCGUGCAGGAUGACGGCCCUAUGGGUUGUAAACUGCUUUUUCGCGGGGAUAAAGAGGGGGAUGCGUCCCCCGUUGCAGGUACCGCGUGAAUAAGGACCGGCUAAUUCCGUGCCAGCAGCCGCGGUAAUACGGAAGGUCCGGGCGUUAUCCGGAUUUAUUGGGUUUAAAGGGAGCGCAGGCCGUAUGGUAAGCGUGUUGUGAAAUGCCGUGGCUCAACCAUGGCACUGCAGCGCGAACUGCCGUACUUGAGUACGCUGGAGGUAGGCGGAAUUCGUGGUGUAGCGGUGAAAUGCUUA